UGCGAUACGUAGUGUGAAUUGCAGAAUUCCGCGAAUCAUCGAGUUUUUGAACGCAACUUGCGCCCGAGGUUCGUCCGAGGGCAUUUCCGUUAGAGCGUCACC
rnacentral:rRNA from 1 species